rnacentral:rRNA from 1 species
GUACUAAAGUAGUAUUAGUUAUAAGCUUGAAACUUAAAAAAUUUGGCGGUAUUUUAAUCUUUUCAGAGGAACCUGUCCUAUAAUCGAUAUUCCACGUUAAAUUUUACUAAAUUAUUUAUAUAUCGUUGUCGAAAGAAUAAAUUUUCUAAAAUUUUUAAAUAAAUAGAUGUCAAAUCAAGGUGUAGUUGAUAAUUUAGAAGAGAUGGGUUACAAUAAAAUUAUUUAGGAGAUAUAUUGAAGGUGGAUUUGAAAGUAAAUUAAUUUUAAUAAAUUUAGUUGAUUAUAGUUCUAAAAUAUGU